CUUGCACCUGGUGGCGAGUGGCGAACGGGUGAGUAAUACAUCGGAACGUACCUUAUCGUGGGGGAUAACGCAGCGAAAGCUGUGCUAAUACCGCAUACGCCCUGAGGGGGAAAGCGGGGGAUCGAAAGACCUCGCGCGAUUAGAGCGGCCGAUGCCUGAUUAGCUUGUUGGUGGGGUAAAAGCCCACCAAGGCGACGAUCAGUAGCUGGUCUGAGAGGACGAUCAGCCACACUGGGACUGAGACACGGCCCAGACUCCUACGGGAGGCAGCAGUGGGGAAUUUUGGACAACGGGGGAAACCCUGAUCCAGCAAUGCCGCGUGAGUGAAGAAGGCCUUCGGGUUGUAAAGCUCUUUUGUCAGGGAAGAAACACCGGCUCUAACACAGUCCGGGAAUGACGGUACCUGAAGAAUAAGCACCGGCUAACCACGUGCCAGCAGCCGCGGUAAUACGUAGGGUGCGAGCGUUAAUCGGAAUUACUGGGCGUAAAGCGUGCGCAGGCGGUUAUACAAGACAGGCGAGAAAUCCCCGGGCUUAACCUGGGAAUGGCGCCUGUGACUGUAUAGCUAGAGUGUGUCAGAGGGGGGUAGAAUUCCACGUGUAGCAGUGAAAUGCGUAGAUAUGUGGAGGAAUACCAAUGGCGAAGGCAGCCCCCUGGGAUAACACUGACGCUCAUGCACGAAAGCGCGGGGAGCAAACAG
rnacentral:rRNA from 1 species